rnacentral:rRNA from 1 species
AUGCAGUCGAACGGUGAACACGGAGCUUGCUCUGUGGGAUCAGUGGCGAACGGGUGAGUAACACGUGAGCAACCUGCCCCUGACUCUGGGAUAAGCGCUGGAAACGGCGUCUAAUACUGGAUAUGUGACGUGAUCGCAUGGUCUGCGUCUGGAAAGAAUUUCGGUUGGGGAUGGGCUCGCGGCCUAUCAGCUUGUUGGUGAGGUAAUGGCUCACCAAGGCGUCGACGGGUAGCCGGCCUGAGAGGGUGACCGGCCACACUGGGACUGAGACACGGCCCAGACUCCUACGGGAGGCAGCAGUGGGGAAUAUUGCACAAUGGGCGCAAGCCUGAUGCAGCAACGCCGCGUGAGGGACGACGGCCUUCGGGUUGUAAACCUCUUUUAGCAGGGAAGAAGCGAAAGUGACGGUACCUGCAGAAAAAGCGCCGGCUAACUACGUGCCAGCAGCCGCGGUAAUACGUAGGGCGCAAGCGUUAUCCGGAAUUAUUGGGCGUAAAGAGCUCGUAGGCGGUUUGUCGCGUCUGCUGUGAAAUCCGGAGGCUCAACCUCCGGCCUGCAGUGGGUACGGGCAGACUAGAGUGCGGUAGGGGAGAUUGGAAUUCCUGGUGUAGCGGUGGAAUGCGCAGAUAUCAGGAGGAACACCGAUGGCGAAGGCAGAUCUCUGGGCCGUAACUGACGCU